rnacentral:misc_RNA from 1 species
AAGUCGUAACAAGGUUUCCGUAGGUGAACCUGCGGAAUGAUCAUUAACACGUAUCCAAACGUUAAAACCCCCCCCGUGAACCUUCAUCCUGCUCUUGUAACCCGCGUAGUUCGCAAUCUCUGAUAAAUCAUAGCCCGGAAAGUUGUAGUGAUUCAGAGACCUCUGGCUACGUGCGAACAUUGGAAGGAAAGUGUCAUUGAUUGUGCAAGGAUAGCGCUUCUACGAUUCCUGUAGACCGUACACUCGGGCAGGAGCUUUGCCAAAGGGUCCCCAUGCCCCCUAAUAACCCCACAGUUUAAUGUGAAGCUCAAUGUAAUACAUUGGGUAAAAAAACCGAACAACUGUUAACAAUGGAUAUCUUGGUUCUC